rnacentral:sRNA from 1 species
GGUUUAAUAUGAUGAAACAAAGAUUCCCCUAUUGAAUCUGUUAAAUAGCAGUUGAAAACAGAAAUCUUCGCUCAAAUUUCUGAUGAACCAUUAAAACUAUUAAAGA